rnacentral:rRNA from 1 species
AACGGGGGGGACAAGCGUUAUUCUUCGUAAUUGGGCGUAAAGGGUACGUAGGUGGAGGUUAAAGUUUUAUGUGAAAGACCCAGGGCUUAACUCGGGAAGCGCAUAAAAGACAAACGGAACUAGAGUACAAGAGAGGACAGUGGUACCCUUAAUUUAGAGGUGAAAUUCAGAGAGAUUAACGGGGACGAUCAAUAGGCGAAAGCGACUGUCUAGCUUGAGACUGACACUGAGGUACAAAAGCGUGGGGAGCAAACAGG